rnacentral:tRNA from 1 species
GCUCCUUGGCGUAGUUGGCAGCGCGCAAGUCUCAUAAUCUUGAGGUCGUGAGUUCGAUCCUCACAGGGGGCA